UACGAAGGGGGCUAGCGUUGCUCGGAAUCACUGGGCGUAAAGGGUGCGUAGGCGGGUCUUUAAGUCAGGGGUGAAAUCCUGGAGCUCAACUCCAGAACUGCCUUUGAUACUGAAGAUCUUGAGUUCGGGAGAGGUGAGUGGAAUUCCCAGUGUAGAGGUGAAAUUCGUAGAUAUUGGGAAGAACACCGGUGGCGAAGGCGGCUCACUGGCUCAUUUCUGACGCUCAGGCGCGACAGCGUGGGGAUCAAACAGG
rnacentral:rRNA from 1 species